UUUUUUUUUUUUUUUUUUGUAUCAGCUAGAGAACAAAGGAAUUGUAUCAUUUCAUGACCGAUCAGUGAAUUAUUGAACCAAGCUGGAUUUGAACCAGCGUAGACGUAUUGCCAACGAAUUCAUAACCACAAGGAAGAUCCCAACUGCCAGAAGUAAUGGAAAUGAAAUGUUUUCAACUCUGACAACAGCAUCCUCCUGUUUCAGUUUCUCCUACCUGUAAAACAAUGCCAAUUUCUCUUCUCUCU
rnacentral:misc_RNA from 1 species